GCAAGUGCCUGUAGUUGGGACUGCUUAGGAAACUGAUGCAGGAGAAUUGCUUGAGCCCAGGAGUUCUGUACCUUUAGUGUGUUAUGCCCAUCAGGUGGUCACACUAAGUUCAACAUCAAUAUGGUGAACUCUUGAGAGUAAGGGUCCACCAGAUUGCCUAAGGAGGGAUGAACUGUCCCAGGUCAAAUACGGAGCAAGUCAGAACUCCCGUGCUGAUCAGUAGUGGGUUUGCACCUGUGCAUAGCUACUGAGCUGCACUCCUGCCUGGACAGCAUUUAU
rnacentral:SRP_RNA from 1 species